GAUAAAGUCAACGCGAUGUUCACAGUAAAUGGUUUACUUACCAAAUAAAUUUUAAGCACUAAGUGAUUAGAGCUAAUUUUACUAUGAUAAUAUUAUAUAUACCUAUGUCAUACAUUUCUAAAAAUAGUUUACGCUUUGCAUCAACUUCAAGAGUGGUUUUCAGUAGAAAAUGUUGUCUUGUUAGUGUAAAAAGAUUUUUUUAUUAUUAUUCACGAUAUAAUAGUUCUUUACUAAAAAAUAUUUUUGAAUAAUUUUUUUUUAAUAGUAUCAAGACAUUCUAAAUGAAUAAUUUAUAACGAUUAGGUAAUAAAAAAAAUAUUAUUUUGACAAAAUGGCAUGUGGUGCGCUUGUACCUGCCCACGAGCCGCCACUUAUAGAAUAUCGCGGGUAGAAUUUUUUUUUUUUAAAAAAAAAAAUAAAGAAUCCAGUUGAUUCGAAAUUUUAAAUAUUUCAAAUCGGAUGCGUGACACGAUCAAUACUAAUUUAAGGGGUUUUGUGUAGGCAAUUUUAAAGAGGAUUUUAAAAAAGAUAACGUAUCACUCAAAAUUAAUGAUAUUCACUUAAAAAAAGUGAUUUAAAUCAUUAUAUUGUUGAUGCAAAAUAUUUUUAGAAACAACUUCAAUAUUCAUC